AAACCAAUCGCCCCUCUCUCUCUCCACUAACCAAAUCCCAAUCCCCCCACUGCCGCACGGAACACCCACCUCCUCCACUCCCGUGCCCUCCUCCACCUUCUCCGCUGCUGCCGCUCGGGCCCCGCCGCACCACCUCCUUCCUUCGGCACCGCCACUUAGUCCCCGCCCUACCACUCCUUCCUCUGGCGCCAUGCUGGCGCCCUGGACCUGCCCGACCCCUCCCUCCCACCUUCUUCCUCCUCCCACCUACUCUCCACCUUUCACUACCGGUGCCGCCCCAGCGCCCGUCCAACUCCCUCCAUUGACAGAUCCAACUUGCCUCUCCCCCACAGAGCACCUCUCGGUGAAUCCCGAUGCGCAGCUCCCCAACGGCCCCUACCUUCCUUUGCGCGCCGCCGCUCCGGGUUGCAGCCACCGAGUUCCAGCAAUAAGAGCACGGAAGCAACGCGGCCCCUCCACCCACGGAUCCGCGCCCUCCUGCACGUGGUGGCCGAAUGGGAUGGCCGGCGAGGUCCUCCGUGUCAGAGACGGGAAGGAGUGGCUCCCGCGGCUACCUCUGCCAACCAUCGUGGGCGGAUCUGCCGGUCCUGCGACCUCCUCUGUAGUCGGACUCGGCGGCCCACGACCCCUUCCCCCCUAUUUCCUCUCCUGGAUGGGAGCACCGGGCAUCACCACCCCCCGCUGGAUCCGCGAGAUUGUGGCCGGAACCGCCGCCAUCACCCAUCGGAACUGGAUCCUGCAGCCCCAUCCUCCCUCCUGCUGUCAAGCGACCAUUCAUGGGCGACCUCCUCCCAGCACCAUCUCGUGGCAUGACUUUGCCUCUACCUACAUCCUCCCGUCCCCAUUAGAGGCCGCGGCGAGGCUCCCUGUGCUGACUGCAUUUGGCGUGCAGCUCAAUCAACUGGCGCGUGCAGUUCAGUAACCACAGUGCUGCCGUCGACCAUAGCCCACGGCCAGUGCACUUCCACCAACCCAUGUUCGUGCAGUUCGUUUGGCUAUGAAAUUUAUGUGUAGUUCAUUUCUCUCACGGGGGCAGCUCCCUUUUCUUCUUCUUGCUAUUACAUUUUCUCACGGGUGUAGUUCUCCUAGUUGUGCAAAUUUUGUGAUUUUUGGUCAAUUUUUCUGCAAUUCAGUGAACUUUGCAAUUGGUCGUACAAAUGUUUUUUUGUUUUGCUUUAUUGUUUUUGCAUGCAGCUCUUUAGUGGUUUGCUUGCAGCUCACAGGCACCUGGGGAGUUCAACUGUAUUAUCUAUGGCGGUAUGUGUUGUGCACUGCACCCAUGCGUAUCGAGGAGCUGCAGUUCGGUUUCCAGUCCAGCGAGGUGCAGUGCCGGCAGUAGCUACGGGAGCAUAGCAGCAGGUGGCGGUGUGCAAAGGAGGUCGUUUGAUCCGUUGCUUGUGGCCUCCGAUUCCUCCACCGCUAUCUGCUCCUGACUGCAGGGUCAAAUCGGGAAGACGAGGACACCCACUGCUCAGCGUCAAAUCGGGAAAAGAGGACACCCACUGCUCUACCACACGCAAGCUCCCGUGCAGUUUGUGAAGUGCGCCAAUGAAAUUCAGAGUCUGGCUGUGUGUGCGCAGUAUGGGCAUGGACGGAUACCGAGUAUGCAUACAUGGUUUGGGAGCAAAAACAUCAGCGUGGAGUUCAGUGUUUUUUGCUGUGGUUCGCUACUAUCAUGAGUACUUUAGACUCACUUUUUUGUUUUUUGGAUGGAAAUCUUCGGUGCACUGCAAUUUGCUAUCCGUUGUUCUUA